rnacentral:rRNA from 1 species
GACGAACGCUGGCGGCGUGCUUAACACAUGCAAGUCGAACGGAAAGGCCCUGCUUUUGUGGGGUGCUCGAGUGGCGAACGGGUGAGUAACACGUGAGUAACCUGCCCUUGACUUUGGGAUAACUUCAGGAAACUGGGGCUAAUACCGGAUAGGAGCUCCUGCUGCAUGGUGGGGGUUGGAAAGUUUCGGCGGUUGGGGAUGGACUCGCGGCUUAUCAGCUUGUUGGUGGGGUAGUGGCUUACCAAGGCUUUGACGGGUAGCCGGCCUGAGAGGGUGACCGGCAAAUUGGGAACGAGAUAACGCCCCGAACUCUUAGGGAGGCAGGAGGGGGGAAUAGUGGAAAAUGGGCGGAAGGCUGAAGGAGGAAAGGCGGGUGGGGGGUGAACGCCUUCGGGGUUGAAACCGCUUUCGCCUGGGACGGAGCGUGAGUGGCGGUAAUGGGUAAAGAAGGCACGGGUAAAUUCGGG